CCUACGGGAGGCAGUAGUGAGGAAUAUUGGUCAAUGGACGAGAGUCUGAACCAGCCAAGUAGCGUGAAGGAUGACUGCCCUAUGGGUUGUAAACUUCUUUUAUAUGGGAAUAAAACGUUCCACGUGUGGGAUUUUGUAUGUACCAUAUGAAUAAGGAUCGGCUAACUCCGUGCCAGCAGCCGCGGUAAUACGGAGGAUCCGAGCGUUAUCCGGAUUUAUUGGGUUUAAAGGGAGCGUAGGUGGAUUGUUAAGUCAGUUGUGAAAGUUUGCGGCUCAACCGGAAAAUUGCAGUUGAAACUGGCAGUCUUGAGUACAGUAGAGGUGGGCGGAAUUCGUGGUGUAGCGGUGAAAUGCUUAGAUAUCACGAAGAACUCCGAUUGCGAAGGCAGUUCACUGGACUGCAACUGACACUGAGGCUCGAAAGUGUGGGUAUCAAACAGGAUUAGAUACCCCUGUAGUC
rnacentral:rRNA from 1 species